CACUGGAGGCAGCGGUUCAUCGAUCUUUUCCUGGGAAAAAAACCUUAUGUAAAUAAAUAAAACUAUAAAGCAUGAAGAGAUCGAUAAACCUCUGCAUCCAGU
rfam:Capsella rubella cultivar Monte Gargano unplaced genomic scaffold scaffold_6, whole genome shotgun sequence.